rnacentral:lncRNA from 1 species
CCUUCAACUUCACUAAAAAACCCUAUUCUUCAUUUUUGAAAUUAAAUUAGCAUUGUCUUCCUCUUUGCCUUUUCAUCAUCUUCAAUCCAAUAAAACUUCGAAGAUUCGAAAUUUGUACAUCAACGGCUUCUUCAACGACAAAAUUAUUGGCGUUGAUGUUAGUAUUGAAAGAAAUCAAGAAAGAAGAGUACUAAAAUCAACUGUAAAUGCCUACAGAAACAUACCCGCCGCUGUCGCUGUAUUACAAGCUCUACAAGGAUUAUCUACGGUAUCCAAACUCUGCUCUCGAGCCACCGCCCCCAAUCCCAGGUACUUAUGUUCUCUACGGUUCAAAUUACACAAACCUUAAUUAUCAAUUUUUAUUUGUAUUUUUUGUGUUAUGCUUUUGUAUGUAAGUUUCUUAAUGAAAGUUAGCUUUCUUAUAUUGGAUUUGUGAAGUAGCAUUCCAAUAUGGUGAUAGUCAAAAGGGUCAUUUUAAUUUUUCACCAAGUUUUCUUUUUAUUAGUUAUGGGUUUGAAUUGAGGAUGACGUUGAAUAAAUAAUGGUGAAGGAAAGAAAGAAAUUGGUCUAUACUAAUUAAGCAAUUUCAUUUUUGAAUUUUGAUCCUUUAGGAGAUGUUAAUAAUUUUUUCAUGAUUGUCAUGUAUUCGAAAUAUUUCAAUUAAAAUCUGGUAGCAUAUGUAAGCUAGUUCUAUAUAUAUAUUUAUUGCUCUGAAACUAAAUAAGUCAAUCCUCAUUGUAAAAAUUCAGUUGCCAAAAGUUUAUUUAUGUUCUUUUGAGUUAUGUAAAAGGAUAACCUUGUUUUAAACUUUUUAUGCAGAUUGAUAAUGUGCUUCCUACUCUAUUAGAGGAGGGCGUCCAUCAAUCAUAUCCAAAAGGGGAAAAUGUUGGUAUGAUUUGCAUAUUGCUUCAUUUUUUUACAAUGGUUUUGAAUGUGAAGGAUAUUGAAUCAGCCACUAUACCACUUUAUUGCCAUCAGUAGGCAUUUUAGUAUCAAAUUUUCAAGCAGUAUGUUGACCUUUUGCUUUGCUGCUAUUUGAUGAUCAUUUGUACCUGUGGAGGUUUAGUAUAUUUGAGCAUGCACAUUUUUCUUCAUUUAUGCUUGGAGUUUGUAAGUUAUUCGUUCGGUUUCAUCUAACAGCAAGUUCUCAAGAUGCAAUUGGCUUCUAUAUAGCUGUGGUUUUCACUACUUCUGUAGAUUAUUGAAAAAGUAAUCUAUUGUUGAACUAUAUAGUAUUUUCCUUACUCUUUUAGCGGCUGCUGAUCAGAUAGGCAAUAUAGGAGUUUUGUAAUUCUUGAUGGAUACACUUAUCCACUAUAUUGAAGGUGUCACUGUAUUUACAUUGCAUGUGUUUUCAUGACCAAUUGUUUGACAUGUUGCAUUGAUGCUAUGACUUUGACGGAAUUUGUGCAAGCUCAGUUCAAUAUAAAUUUGUGCAAGCUUUGUAUCAUGUGAUCUACUUUUCUUACGUACUUUAGGGAUCCAAUGCUUGAAGAUUAAAG